UAUAUAUGUGUGUGUGUGAAAAAUACAUCCAACACUUAGGGGUAGUUACCCAUAUGUCAUAUAUACAAUUAUGUGUUAGCAUAUAUAUACUACUUUAUCAUUAUAAAUAUGUUGAUAACUAUAUAAGAUAAGAUAUACUUUAGGGUGAGUUUCAUGAAAAAAUUGCAAAUUGGCCCAUGAUUUUUAUUCUGUUUGUAAAAUAUGUAUAUAUUUAUAC
rnacentral:lncRNA from 1 species